GACGAACGCUGGCGGCGUGCUUAACACAUGCAAGUCGAACGGAAAGGCCCUGCUUUUGUGGUGUGCUCGAGUGGCGAACGGGUGUGUAACACGGGAGUAACCUGCUCUUGAUUUUGGGAUAACUUCAGGAAACUGGGGCUAAUACCGGAUAGGAGAUCCUGCUGCAGGGUGGGGGAUGGAAAGUUUCGGCGGUUGGGGAUGGACUCGCGGCUUAUUAGCUUGUUGGUGGGGUAGUGGCUUACCAAGGCUUUGACGGGUAGCCGGCCUGAGAGGGUGACCGGCCACAUUGGGACUGGGAUACGGCCCGAACUCCUACGGGGGGCAGCAGUGGGGAAUAUGGCACAAUGGGCGGAAGCCGGUGGCAGCAACGCCGGGGGCGGGAUGACGGCCUUCGGUUGUUAAACCGCUUUCGCCUGUGACGAAGCGUGUGUGACGGUAAUGGGUAAAGAAGCACCGGCUAACUACGUG
rnacentral:rRNA from 1 species